rnacentral:rRNA from 1 species
GACGAACGCUGGCGGAGGGAAGAAUAAAGGAAAGUUGAGCGAUGAAGAUUGGUGCUUGACUUAAUUUGAAGAGCAGAGAAAGGGUGAGUAAUGCGUGGGGAAUAUGUCUUUGAGCGGGGGACAACAUUUGGAAACGAAUGCUAAUACCGCAUAACAACUUUAAACAUAAGUUUUAAGUUUGAAAGAUGCAAUUGCAUCACUCAAAGAUGAUCCCGCGUUGUAUUAGCUAGUUGGUGAGGUAAAGGCUCACCAAGGCGAUGAUACAUAGCCGACCUGAGAGGGUGAUCGGCCACAUUGGGACUGAGACACGGCCCAAACUCCUACGGGAGGCAGCAGUAGGGAAUCUUAGGCAAUGGACGAAAGUCUGACCGAGCAACGCCGCGGGAGUGAAGAAGGUUUUCGGAUCGUAAAACUCUGUUGGUAGAGAAGAACGUUGGUGAGAGUGGAAAGCUCAUCAAGUGACGGUAACUACCCAGAAAGGGACGGCUAACUACGUA